AGCAGCCGCGGUAAUUCCAGCUCCAACAGCGUAUAUUAAAGUUGUUGCAGUUAAAAAGCUCGUAGUUGAAUUGAGGGAUUGACGUGACGGUCGUGCCUUACGGGGUAUGAAUGAACUGUUGCUGUUGAUUUUUCUCACCUUCUGGAGAAACUUGAUGUCCUUAAUUGGGUGUCUUGCGGAUCCAGGACCUUUACCUUGAAAAAAUUUAGAGUGUUUAAAGCAGGCAUUUUUGCUCGAAUACAUUAGCAUGGAAUAAUAGAAUAGGACGGCAUGGUUCUAUUUUGUUGGUUUCUAGGAUCACCGUAAUGAUUAAUAGGGAUAGUUGGGGGGCAUUAGUAUUCAAUUGUCAGAGGUGAAAUACUUGGAUUUGUUGAAGACUAAUUACUGCGAAAGCAUUUGCCAAGGAUGUUUUCAUUAAUCAAGAACGAAAGUUAGGGGAUCGAAGACGAUCAGAUACCGUCGUAGUCUUAACCAAUUAAACUAUGUCGACUAGGAAUCAGACGAUGUUAAUUUUUUUAAA
rnacentral:misc_RNA from 1 species